rnacentral:tRNA from 1 species
GCGAGGAUGGUGGAAUUGGUAGACACGUACGUUUGAGGGGCGUAUACCGAAAGGUGUGGGGGUUCAAGUCCCCCUCCUCGCA